UGCAGGUGGCAGCGUGGAGAUGGCUC
rnacentral:piRNA from 1 species